GGGUCUUGAGUUGUUUCCCCGAGAGAAGAAACCAGACGUCUUAAGCUUAAUCAAAUGUUUGCGAUCAGAAUUUGGGGUUACAGGCCUCGGUCCUGGGCGCAGUGGGGAGCGUCCGACCCCGGCGGUCCCCCGGAAGGGCGCUCUCGGAGGGAGACAAGCGCUGGAGCGGGAUCAGGCAGGCGAGGCUGCUGGACCAGGGCGCGGGGAGCUCUCCGAGGUGCUGAAGCCGCCCCAAUGUCCGCCCAGCCUGGGCGAGGCCCCGAGUCCUGAGGCUACGGCCCGUGCGGUUCCCAGCGACCUCUGAGAUUGGCUGCCCGCUCUCCCGGAUCUUGUCCCGGGCUCCGGCCCCGGCGACCUUGGGCAACCGACUGUCCCUCACAGGCGGCGGUGAACUCGCGGUCCAGGCUGCGGCUGGACUGGCGGCGCGUCCCAUCCUGGGGCUGGGAGAGCAGGGGCGCGCCCCUUCCCCGGCCCGGAACGCCGAGCAGGGAGCCAAGCGGGUGCGGGCGAGUGGUCAGCGGUGGGCUCUUUUCUCCCCGGCCGAACCUCUCCAGUCCACCCGCUCCUGCGCUUCCCCAGGCCCCGACGGCGCCCCUCCUAGCGAGCGGCCCGGCCGGCACGCAGCGGCGCGGCUGGAGCUCCCGGCCCUCGACCCCGACGGAUCCCUGGCGGCGCAGCCCGCCCCACCCACCCGCAGCCUCCCGCUGGGGUCAGACUCCCGCGCCUCGCGGCCAAACCGCGAGCGGGGCAACGCAGGGCGCUGAGGUCCCGGAGAGGCGCGAAAAUAGCUCAGGGUCCCGGGAGUAUGGUCAGGGCGGAGGCGGGAGCGCGGCCGGACCCGGCUGCCAGCUCCUUCCCCAGCCCGCGAGGGGGCGCCGCGUCCCCAUGACAACGCGGACACCCCCACCCCCCGGAGGGCAGCGCCCCCUGCUCCCCUGCGUCGCUGGCCGUGGGCGGCGCCCUCUGUGCCCAGGCGGGGAGCUGCCGGCCCGCCCCCGAGAGGGGCGCAGGCCGCCGGGGUCUCCGACGCCUCGGGUGUUGACCCCCGCGCGUCGCCGCCGGGUGACCGGCCCGGGGCGGGCGGCGCGGCCCCGCCACGAUUGGCUGCUUCCUCGUGACAUCACGCGGCUCGGGGAAAAGUGCGAGCGUGAGCGCGAGUCGGAGCCACAGCGCCGGG
rnacentral:lncRNA from 1 species